rnacentral:rRNA from 1 species
GACGAACGCUGGCGGCGUGCCUAACACAUGCAAGUCGAGCGAUGAAGUUUCCUUCGGGAAACGGAUUAGCGGCGGACGGGUGAGUAACACGUGGGUAACCUGCCUCAUAGAGGGGAAUAGCCUCCCGAAAGGGAGAUUAAUACCGCAUAAUAUUACAGUUUUGCAUGAAACAGUAAUUAAAGGAGCAAUCCGCUAUGAGAUGGACCCGCGGCGCAUUAGCUAGUUGGUGAGGUAACGGCUCACCAAGGCGACGAUGCGUAGCCGACCUGAAAGGGUGAUCGGCCACAUUGGGACUGAGACACGGCCCAGACUCCUACGGGAGGCAGCAGUGGGGAAUAUUGCACAAUGGGGGAAACCCUGAUCUAGCCAUGCCGCGUGAUCGAUGAAGGCCUUAGGGUUGUAAAGAUCUUUCAGUGGGGAAGAUAAUGACUGUACCCACAGAAGAAGCCCCGGCUAACUCCGUGUCAGCCGCCGCAGUAACAC